UACGUAGGGUGCAAGCGUUGUCCGGAAUUAUUGGGCGUAAAGAGCUCGUAGGCGGUCUGUCGCGUCGGCUGUGAAAUCCCGAGGCUCAACCUCGGGUCUGCAGUCGAUACGGGCAAACUGGAGUGUUGCAGGGGAGACUGGAAUUCCUGGUGUAGCGGUGAAAUGCGCAGAUAUCAGGAGGAACACCGAUGGCGAAGGCAGGUCUCUGGGCAUUAACUGACGCUGAGGAGCGAAAGCAUGGGGAGCGAACAGG
rnacentral:rRNA from 1 species